AACGAACGCUGGCGGCAGGCUUAACACAUGCAAGUCGAACGAAUCUUCUUCGGAAGAUGAGUGGCGAACGGGUGAGUAAUACAUAGGUAACCUGCCCCUGUGCGGGGGAUAACAGGAGGAAACUCCUGCUAAUACCGCAUAGCCAUGAGCACCGCAUGGAGCUCAUGCCAAAUAUCCUUCAGGGGAUAGCGCAGGGCUGGACCUAUGGCGCAUUAGCUAGUUGGCGGGUAAACGGCCCACCAAGGCAACGAUGAGUAGCCGGCCUGCGAGGGCGGACGGCCACAUUGGGACUGAGGCACGGCCCAGACUCCUACGGGAGGCAGCAGUAGUGAGUUUUCGGCAAUGGGGGAAACCCUGACCGAGCAACGCCGCGUGAGCGAAGAAGGCCUUCGGGUCGUAAAGCUCUGUUGUAAAGGAAGAACGUCGCAUGCAGGAAAUGGUGUGCGAGUGACGGUACUUUACCAGAAAGCCACGGCUAACUACGUGCCAGCCGCCGCGGUAAGAC
rnacentral:rRNA from 1 species